UACGUAGGGACCAAGCGUUGUUCGGAUUUACUGGGCGUAAAGGGCGCGUAGGCGGCGCGGUAAGUCACUUGUGAAAUCUCUGAGCUUAACUCAGAACGGCCAAGUGAUACUGCAGUGCUAGAGUGUGGAAGGGGCAAUCGGAAUUCUUGGUGUAGCGGUGAAAUGCGUAGAUAUCAAGAGGAACACCUGAGGUGAAGACGGGUUGCUGGGCCAACACGUGACGCUGGAUGCGCGAAAGCCAGGGGAGCAAACGGG
rnacentral:rRNA from 1 species